rnacentral:rRNA from 1 species
AUUGAACGCUGGCGGCAGGCCUAACACAUGCAAGUCGAGCGGGGUUUUCGGACCUAGCGGCGGACGGGUGAGUAAUGCGUAGGAAGCUACCCGAUAGAGGGGGAUACCAGUUGGAAACGACUGUUAAUACCGCAUAAUGUCUACGGACCAAAGUGUGGGACCUUCGGGCCACAUGCUAUCGGAUGCGCCUACGUGGGAUUAGCUAGUUGGUGAGGUAAUGGCUCACCAAGGCGACGAUCCCUAGCUGGUUUGAGAGGAUGAUCAGCCACACUGGAACUGAGACACGGUCCAGACUCCUACGGGAGGCAGCAGUGGGGAAUAUUGGACAAUGGGCGCAAGCCUGAUCCAGCCAUGCCGCGUGUGUGAAGAAGGCCUUCGGGUUGUAAAGCACUUUCAGUAGGGAGGAAGGGGUAAGUGUUAAUAGUACUUAACUUUGACGUUACCUACAGAAGAAGCACCGGCUAACUCUGUGCCAGCCGCCGCUGUAAGAC